CUAAUUUUUCCUUGUCUUGUGCUGUCAGUGAAACAAACUAUUAUUUCUUUCCGCAGAACAAAGCUAAAAACAAGAAUGUCUGAAAUAUCAAGAAUAAUGACCUACAAAGUCUCUUCUGGCCCCAGCUUCCAUUGAAAAAUAAUUGGAUGAAUUGGCUGAAUUGGUUCUCAACAGGUCUCUCUGAGUAGAGAACCAGGAGAUAAGACCUGGUUAUAACAAGGGCUCUGCAACCUGGAAGUCCGAGCUUCCCCAGAACACCAGACUCUGGAAGAAUUGGAGCCGCUGAACCAGGCAGGCUGCCCCAGCCAUGGACCCACCGUCAUGCUUCCAGGUUCCACAAAAUUGGGUGGCCCAAACAUUGGAGCUAUUCCAAAGCAAGAGAUCCCAUGAGACUUCCUUAAGAUUUCCUGAAUGUGAGUGCUGACGCUGUGGCAGAUCUAUCUGACAGAUAGAUCUGGGCUUCCCAAGGCUUUCCUAUUCUUAGCUUUGAAACAGAGAAGCUUGAAGCCCUAGUAUGGUUAGCUGCCAUGAUGUUGAAGAUCCUGGAAGUCCCCAGGUCCCCAGCAGCCCACCAUGAAUCAAGGACAUGGGUCAUCAGCAACCUUUUACUACUAUGGACCAGAGCUUCAUGUCACGGGACACAAAU
rnacentral:lncRNA from 1 species